GCGGGGAUCGCCUAGCCUGGUAGGGCGCUGGAUUGCUAAUCCAGUGCGCUCUGCGCCCGGGGGUUCAAAUCCCCCUCCCCGCG
rnacentral:tRNA from 5 species